rnacentral:rRNA from 1 species
AGAGGUCUCGAGCGUUAAUCGGAAUUACUGGGCUUAAAGGGUGCGUAGGCGGACCCGCAAGUGCUUCGUGAAAUCCCACGGCUCAACCGUGGAAUCGCUUGGCAGACUGCGGGUCUUGAGGUCGGUAGGGGCCGCCGGAACUCUAGGUGGAGCGGUGAAAUGCGUAGAUAUCUAGAGGAACGCCGAAGGUGAAGACAGGCGGCUGGGCCGAUUCUGACGCUGAGGCACGAAAGCGUGGGGAGCGAACGGGAUUAGAUACCCCGGUAGUCCACGCCCUAAACGAUGCGCACUAGAUCGCGGAGGCUCUGACGCCGUCGUGGUCGAAGAAAAAUUGAUAAGUGCGCCGCCUGGGGAGUACGGUCGCAAGGCUA